ACGGGAGGCAGCAGUGAGGAAUAUUGGUCAAUGGAGGCAACUCUGAACCAGCCAUCUCGCGUGAAGGAAUACGGCCCUACGGGUCUUAAACUUCUUUUAUAGGGGGAUAAAGUGAGAUAUGCAUAUCUUUUUGUAGGUACCCUAUGAAUAAGCAUCGGCUAACUCCGUGCCAGCAGCCGCGGUAAUACGGAGGAUGCGAGCGUUAUCCGGAUUUAUUGGGUUUAAAGGGUGCGUAGGCGGCACGUUAAGUCAGCGGUGAAAUGUCGGGGCUCAACCCGGGCACUGCCGUUGAAACUGGCGAGCUUGAGUACGGAUGAAGUCGGCGGAAUGUGAUGUGUAGCGGUGAAAUGCAUAGAUAUGACGAAGAACACCGAUUGCGUAGGCAGCUGACCAGGCCGUAAAUGACGCUCAUGCACGAAAGUGCGGGGAUCGAACAGGAUUAGAUACCCUGGUA
rnacentral:rRNA from 1 species